rnacentral:ncRNA from 1 species
UCAUCGCAUUAUGGAAUUGUUAUUUUCUAUUCAUAUGUCUAAAAAGCUGAGAGAGCAUUUGCUUGACCCUUUGAACCUGAAGUGGUUAGAACCAACGCAGGGAAGUGAGUUUGUCUAUUA